rnacentral:rRNA from 1 species
UGAAUACGAGAUGCUACGGCGUCGAAGCAGUGUAUGUCAGACUUCCAAGAAAAGCUCGCAAUGUCAUAAAUAAAGAAUGCCUGUACCAUAACCGACACAGGUGGGUAGGUAGAGUAUACUAAGGGGCGCGAGAUAACUCUCUCUAAGGAACUCGGCAAAAUAACUCCGUAACUUCGGGAGAAGGAGUGCCUCCUAUUAGAAGGUUGCAAUAACAAGAUCCAAGCAACUGUUUAUCAAAAACACAGGUCUCCGCUAAGUCGUAAGACGAUGUAUGGGGGCUGACGCCUGCCCAGUGCCAGAAGGUUAAAGAAGUUGGUUAGCUUUGGCGAAGCUGAUGACUGAAGCCCUGGUGCACGGCGGCCGUAACGAUAACGGUCCUAAGGUAGCGAAAUUCCUUGUCGGGUAAGUUCCGACCCGCACGAAAGGCGUAAUGAUUUGGAUACUGUCUCGGAGAGGGACUCGGUGAAAUAGACUUGUCUGUGAAGAUGCGGACUACCUGCACCAGGACAGAAAGACCCUAUGAAGCUUUACUGUAACUUGAAAUUGAAAUUGGACUUUAUUUGCGCAGCAUAGGUGGAAGGCGUUGAGAUUACUCUUGCGGGAGUACUGGAGCCAUCAGUGAGAUACCACUCCUAUAAUGUUAGAUUUCUAACUUUGGAUCAUGAUCUGGUCAAAGAACAGUUUCAGGCGGGCAGUUUGACUGGGGCGGUCGCCUCCCAAAUGGUAACGGAGGCGUACAAAGGUUUCCUCUGAACGGGUAGAAAUCGUAUCUAGAGUGUAAAGGCAUAAGGAAGCUUGACUGUGAGACCUACAAGUCGAGCAGGGACGAAAGUCGGUCUUAGUGAUCUGACGGUGCUGAGUGGAAAGGCCGUCACUCAACGGAUAAAAGUUACUCUAAGGAUAACAGGCUGAUCUCCCCCAAGAGUUCACAUCGACGGGGAGGUUUGGCACCUCGAUGUCGGCUCAUCGCAUCCUGGGGCGGUAGUACGUCCCAAGGGUUGGGCUGUUCGCCCAUGAAAGCGGUACGCGAGCUGGGUUCAGAACGUCGUGAGACAGUUCGGUCCAUAUCCGGUGUAGGCGUUAGAAUAUUGAGAGGAGCCUUCUUUAGUACGAGAGGACCGAGAAGGACAUACCUCUGGUGUACCAGUUACCGUGCCAACGGUAAACGCUGGGUAGCUAUGUAUGGAGAGGAUAACCGCUGAAAGCAUCUAAGUGGGAAGCCCACCUCAAGAUGAGUAUUCCC